rnacentral:piRNA from 1 species
CUAAAUGAUGGACAAUGCCAAUGCAUCAAGGU